ensembl:snoRNA U3 Small nucleolar RNA U3
AAGGCUAUAUUUUCAGGGAUCAUUUCUAUAGUUCAUUACUAGAGAAGUUUCUCUGAUCAUGUAGAGUACAAGAACUUGACAUACAGACAGG